rnacentral:rRNA from 1 species
GAGCACGUAGGUGGGUUUGUAAGUCAGAUGUGAAAGCCUUCUGUUCAACGGAAGAAUUGCAUCUGAAACUACAAGUCUUGAGUGUAGGAGGGGAGAAUGGAACUUCUGGUGGAGCGGUGAAAUCCGUAGAUAUCAGAAGGAACGCCGGCGGCGAAAGCGAUUCUCUGGCCUAUUACUGACACUCAGUGUGCGAAAGCUAGGGGAGCAAACGGGAUUAGAUACCCCGGUAGUCCUAGCCGUAAACGAUGGGCACUAAGUAGAGGGGAUUACCGACGUUCUCUCUGCCGUAGCUAACGCAUUAAGUGCCCCGCCUGGGGAGUACGGCCGCAAGGCUAAAACUCAAAAGAAUUGACGGGGGCUCGCACAAGCGGUGGAGCAUGUGGCUUAAUUCGAUGCAACGCGAAGAACCUUACCGGGGCUUGACAUGGUAGAAGUAGGAACCCGAAAGGGUAACGAACGGUAUCCAGUCCGUGACUAUCACAGGUGUUGCAUGGCUGUCGUCAGCUCGUGUCGUGAGACGUUGGGUUAAGUCCCCUAACGAGCGAAACCCUUGUUUUUAGUUACCAGCGGGUUAUGCCGGGUACUCUAGAAAGACUGCCGUCGUCAAGACGGAGGAAGGUGGGGAUGACGUCAAGUCAUCAUGGCCCUUAUGCCCCGGGCUGCACACGUGCUACAAUGGUCGGUACAAACGGAAGCGAAGCCGAGAGGUGAAGCGAAUCCAAGC